rnacentral:lncRNA from 1 species
GCUUAAAUGAAACAUAAAUACAUAUAUACUACACAAAAUAUGUAAUGCAUCCACAAUAAUAAUAAAUUUAACAAUCAAUCGGUGCCGAUCCUCUUCUGUGGACCUGAAGUCCACCUGCGAAUUAUUGGAGAUCUGUCUCUGAAUGUACUGUAACACGCGAGCCCUCUCUCUCUAUUAUAUCUAUACAUUUUUGUUCAUUGAAAAUAAUAUUUUACAAUCUUGAAAUAAAAAAAAAUAUGCUUUAAUAUUCUACUUUAAAUAAUUUCAUAUUUAAUAUUUCUAGCUGGUUCCGGGUUUCCUCUGGAUUUAAAUUAAUUUUGUUCAAUAGUAUUUAUAUUAUUACUUGCGUUUUCAUAACAUCCACAUCAAAUAAUUUGCAUCAAAAUUUAAAAAUGAAGGUAAUGAAUGAUAUCAUUGAUCUUUUUUAUGGUAGGUAUUUUAGUUUGAUUUAAACUGAAUCUUUUAUUGGUAUAUAUAAAAGCAUGAUAUGAAA